CAUGACAUCCUCGAGUCACAUCGAGGAUCAUAGAAAGCUGCAGCAAAGGCCUGGCGCUUGGAGAGGAGCCCGCGUCCGAUUAGCUAGUUGGCGGGGUAACGGCCCACCAAGGCGACGAUCGGUAGCCGGCCUGAGAGGGCGGACGGCCACACUGGGACUGAGACACGACCCAGACUCCUACGGGAGGCAGCAGUGGGGAAUUUUUCGCAAUGGGGGAAACCCUGACGAAGCAACGCCGCGUGGAGGAUGAAGGCCUUCGGG
rnacentral:rRNA from 1 species